CGAGCGCACCCUUCGGGGCGAGCGGCGGACGGGUUAGUAACGCGUGGGAACGUACCCUUGUCUACGGAAUAGCCUUUGGAAACGAAGAGUAAUACCGUAUACGCCCUUCGGGGGAAAGAUUUAUCGGACAAGGAUCGGCCCGCGUUAGAUUAGAUAGUUGGUGGGGUAAUGGCCUACCAAGUCUACGAUCUAUAGCUGGUUUUAGAGGAUGAUCAGCAACACUGGGACUGAGACACGGCCCAG
rnacentral:rRNA from 1 species